UACAGAGGUCCCGAGCGUUGUUCGGAUUCAUUGGGCGUAAAGGGUGCGUAGGCGGCGGGGUAAGUCUGAUGUGAAAUCCUGGGGCUCAACCCUGGAACUGCAUUGGAUACUGCCUUGCUAGAGAACUGGAGAGGAGACUGGAAUUUACGGUGUAGCAGUGAAAUGCGUAGAGAUCGUAAGGAAGACCAGUGGCGAAGGCGGGUCUCUGGACAGUUCCUGACACUGAGGCACGAAGGCCAGGGGAGCAAACGGG
rnacentral:rRNA from 1 species